rnacentral:misc_RNA from 1 species
GAUGAAAGACGUAGCGAAAUGCGAUAAGUAGUGUGAAUUGCAGAAUUCAGUGAAUCAUCGAAUCUUUGAACGCACAUUGCGCCCCUUGGUAUUCCAUGGGGCAUGCCUGUUCGAGCGUCAUUUGUACCUUCAAGCUCUGCUUGGUGUUGGGUGUUUGUCUCGCCUCUGCGCGUAGACUCGCCUCAAAACAAUUGGCAGCCGGCGUAUUGAUUUCGGAGCGCAGUACAUCUCGCGCUUUGCACUCAUAACGACGACGUCCAAAAGUACAUUUUUACACUCUUGACCUCGGAUCAGGUAGGGAUACCCGCUGAACUUAAGCAUAUCAAUAAGCGGAGGA